GGGAGGCAAAAAUAGUACAAGAUAGAGAUGCUCAAUCUGUAGCUCAUGAGGAAAAGAUUCACGAAUAUACAGUAACUAAUCAGAGAUGGAGGUAACCUAUCAACCAGAAUGUGACAAUGUAAGGAACUUUGGAAUAGGCAGAAAAGAGGACUUGUUGUCUCUAAUAAAAAGCUAUGCAUUUUUAGUGCACACUCUUACAGGUAAUCUAAAUCUAACUCUAUCAUUGCCUUUGAGCUACUUUACAACUCUGUAAGUUGUAGAUAACUGAUAUUAAUGCAAAAUAAUUCUUGUAUAAACAUGAAAAUUAAUUAUAUUCAGUGAAAGUUCCAUUGAUUUUCCUCUUCCAUUGUGCAGGAAGCCAGUUAUUUUUCCAUUUGCACUUUCAUUUCAAUAUUUCUGAUAUAUAAAUAUGUCUGUUGGAUUAUCCUUUCAACUGCUUAUAAUAUCUUACCAUUUCCUUCAUUUAAAAAAUUAAUCAACUAUAAGAUUUAACACAUGCUUAUUUUUAAAAAAAAAUUUUAACUGUUCUCUCUGGAAAGACACCAUAAAGUUGAAGACAAACAGAAAAAAAAAAGUAUAACUUUUUUUGUUUGUUUGUUUGUUUUUUUUAAUUUAUUUAUUUUUUUUUAUUGAUCAUUCUUGGGUGUUUCUCGCAGAGGGGGAUUUGGCAGGGUCAUAGGACAAUAGUGGAGGGAAGGUCAGCAGAUAAACAAGUGAACAAAGGUCUCUGGUUUUCCUAGGCAGAGGACCCUGCGGCCUUGGCCUUCCGCAGUGUUUGUGUCCCUGGGUACUUAAGAUUAGGGAGUGGUGAUGACUCUUAACGAGCAUGCUGCCUUCAAGCAUCUGUUUAACAAAGCACAUCUUGCACCGCCCUUAAUCCAUUUAAACCUGAGUGGACACAGCACAUGUUUCAGAGAGCACAGGGUUGGGGAUAAGGUCACAGAUCAACAGGAUCCCAAGGCAGAAGAAUUUUUCUUAGUACAGAACAAAAUGAAAAGUCUCCCAUGUCUACUUCUAUCCACACAGACCCGGCAACCAUCCGAUUUCUCAAUUUUUUCCCCACCCUUCCCGCCUUUCUAUUCCACAAAACCGCCAUUGUCAUCAUGGCCCAUCCCCAAUGAGCCGCUGGGCACACCUCCCAGACGGGGUCGUGGCCGGGCAGAGGGGCUCCUCACUUCCCAGUAGGGGCGGCCGGGCAGAAGCGCCCCUCACCUCCCGGAUGGGGCGGCUGGCCGGGCGGGGGGCUGACCCCCCCACCACCCUCCCGGACGGGGCGGCUGGCCAGGCAGAGGGGCUCCUCACUUCCCAGUAGGGACGGCCGGGCAGAG
rnacentral:lncRNA from 1 species